UUGAUCUCAAAUCAGGUAGGACUACCCGCUGAACUUAAGCAUAUCAAUAAGCGGAGGAAAAGAAACUAACAAGGAUUCCCCUAGUAACUGCGAGUGAAGCGGGAAGAGCUCAAAUUUGAAAUCUGGCGUGCCUCUGGUCGUCCGAGUUGUAGUCUGGAGAAGCGUUUUCCGUGUUGGACCGUGUACAAGUCUCUUGGAACAGGGCGUCAUAGAGGGUGAGAAUCCCGUCUUUGACACGGACUACCAAUGCUUUGUGAUGCGCUCUCAAAGAGUCGAGUUGUUUGGGAAUGCAGCUCAAAAUGGGUGGUAAAUCCAUCUAAAGCUAAAUAUAGGCGAGAGACCGAUAGCGAACAAGUA
rnacentral:rRNA from 1 species